rnacentral:rRNA from 1 species
GACGAACGCUGGCGGCGUGCUUAACACAUGCAAGUCGAACGGAAAGGCCCUGCUUGCAGGGUACUCGAGUGGCGAACGGGUGAGUAACACGUGGGUGAUCUGCCCUGCACUUCGGGAUAAGCCUGGGAAACUGGGUCUAAUACCGGAUAGGAGCCAUUUUUAGUGUGAUGGUUGGAAAGUUUUUUCGGUGUAGGAUGAGCUCGCGGCCUAUCAGCUUGUUGGUGGGGUAAUGGCCUACCAAGGCGGCGACGGGUAGCCGGCCUGAGAGGGUGGACGGCCACGUUGGGACUGAGAUACGGCCCAGACUCCUGCGAGAGGCAGCAGUGGGGAAUAUUGCACAAUGGGCGCAAGCAAGAUGCAGCGACGCCGCGUGGGGGAUGACGGCCUUCGGGUUGUAAUCUCCUUUCGCUAGGGACGAAGCUUUUUGUGACGGUACCUAGAUAAGAAGCACCGGCUAACUACGUG